rnacentral:rRNA from 1 species
AUGGUGAAGUGGUCUGAGGUUUGCAAGCCAAAGGACCAAGGCGGUUUGGGAGUCAUCUCGUCCAAGCGGAUGAACAUAGCCUUGCUCUCCAAAUGGCUAUGGCGCAUUGAGGCAGGGGAUGGGGGCCUAUGGCUCCAGAUCAUCCGCGCAAAGUACUUGCGUGGACAACCCCUUGCCUUCGCCUCCCGGAUGGGUGGCUCC